rnacentral:tRNA from 1 species
GCUGCCGUAGCUCAGUGGUAGAGCACUCCNNCAAAGGGAUCAGACUGUAAAUCUGACGCGCAAGCUUCGGUGGUUCGAAUCCACCCCCCUCCACCA